rnacentral:rRNA from 1 species
AUUGAACGCUGGCGGCAUGCUUUACACAUGCAAGUCGAACGGCAGCGCGGGCUUCGGCCUGGCGGCGAGUGGCGAACGGGUGAGUAAUGCAUCGGAACGUGCCCAGUAGUGGGGGAUAGCCCGGCGAAAGCCGGAUUAAUACCGCAUACGACCUGAGGGUGAAAGCGGGGGACCGAAAGGCCUCGCGCUAUUGGAGCGGCCGAUGUCGGAUUAGCUAGUUGGUGGGGUAAAGGCUUACCAAGGCGACGAUCCGUAGCUGGUCUGAGAGGACGACCAGCCACACUGGGACUGAGACACGGCCCAGACUCCUACGGGAGGCAGCAGUGGGGAAUUUUGGACAAUGGGGGCAACCCUGAUCCAGCCAUGCCGCUUGCGGGAAGAAGGCCUUCGGGUUGUAAACCGCUUUUGUUCGGGAAGAAAUCCUCUGGGCUAAUACCCCGGGGGGAUGACGGUACCGGAAGAAUAAGCACCGGCUAACUACGUG